CCUACGGGAGGCAGCAGUGAGGAAUAUUGGUCAAUGGACGAGCGUCUGAACCAGCCAAGUAGCGUGAAGGAUGACUGCCCUAUGGGUUGUAAACUUCUUUUAUAUGGGAAUAAAAUGUUCCACGUGUGGGAUUUUGUAUGUACCAUAUGAAUAAGGAUCGGCUAACUCCGUGCCAGCAGCCGCGGUAAUACGGAGGAUCCGAGCGUUAUCCGGAUUUAUUGGGGUUAAAGGGAGCGUAGGUGGAUUGUUAAGUCAGUUGUGAAAGUUUGCGGCUCAACCGUAAAAUUGCAGUUGAAACUGGCAGUCUUGAGUACAGUAGAGGUGGGCGGAAUGCGUGGUGUAGCGGUGAAAUGCUUAGAUAUCACGAAGAACUCCGAUUGCGAAGGCAGUUCACUGGACUGCAACUGACACUGAGGCUCGAAAGUGUGGGUAUCAAACAGGAUUAGAUACCCCUGUAGUC
rnacentral:rRNA from 1 species